UCAAAGCAUAACCUUUGUGAUGAAGACUUAAGAAAUCCUCAACCUUCUAGGGGCAGCCGAUCCCCUUAAUAUUCUCAGUUGCACGUACAAUGCAUUUAGUAAGCCUUGAUAUUUCGUGUUUGCAGUGAGGGGUCUCUGGAGGUACCAGUGAAGCAGAAAGAGGUGCUAUGCAAACAUGAUGAGCAAUCCACAAGGGACCAGUAUCAAGUCCAGAAUCAGGAGUGAAUUUUGUUGCUGACAUGCAAGAGAUUUAUUGCUGAUGUGUGGUUUCUGUUAAUUAAGGACAAACUUCAAGAAGCGACCUUAAACCAAAGAAUGGUGUUAUCUUGUAGCGACUGAACCCUGCUUCCAAGAAGAGCUUCUUCCAUUCUCUUUCCUCUCUUUCUCUUCCUGUGACAGCAACCAUCAUCAAUAAAUCGAAGUACAGUUUUGGUUCUGUCACCUCAUGCUUAUCCUUCUUCUCAUUUAUCACUAUGUCUAUUAUUAUCACUUUUCCUUCUUUCCCUUUCCCUGAAAUAGCCUCUCUGCAUUUCUUCAGUAUCCUUACACAGUCUUCAUCACUGCAAGCAUGUAAUAUCAGCUGCCAAUUUCCAAUUACCAGAAAUAUCAAUCUCAAAACUUCAGUAACUCUCCUUGUUUCUCUUGUUAGUUCUCAUGCUAUUUGUAGGUUACAAUAUUUUACAUAGCAUCUUAUGUUAAGUGAACAGCAAUAUAUUUCGAUCUUGGUAUAGUUUUCUUUCAA